rnacentral:lncRNA from 1 species
GUGGAUUGUUAGCCUUUCCAGGGAUUCGUUUACGAGGUCUGAUCAAUAAGUAUCCUGAUUGUUGCUUUAGUUUCAUUACUAUGGCAACAGUCCAGAUAAGUCAACCAAGAUUGGGUUAUAACACGACUUUAUAAUUUAUCACUGAAAAAUUAGUCCUAAAAGGUUGGCGAUAAGAUAUUCAGAAAUGCAUUUAUGUUGUAUAAGUCUUUUGUCUUUUACUCGUUAUACAGCGGCUAUAACGGGGUACCGCCAUGAAGGCUUUGGUCGACCGAAUCGUCACUGGCACUUAUAGUCUUGCGCUGAUUCUAUCGUUCACUUGCACACAACCGCUAAGUCACGGUGGAUGUAAACAAGCCAGCACCCGUUGUCAAAUAGUGGUGGAAAACAAAAACAAGCACAUGCACGACACACACACACACACACACACACACACACGACUGUCUUCUAUACAGUUUGCGUCUACCAAAUUCCUCAAAAGGCCUUAUAUAUUUGCAAAGCAGGCCUCGUCUUUCAUCGUGACCUGGUGGUUACCGCCCGUUGAUAAGAGACAAUAAUCUCGUAACCGGUCCGUGCGUAUCACUCAGGCUUGCGAGGAAGGGAUGACCUCCCUUUGCAAAUACUUCAAGGACACUGAAAGGGUGUCUAAAGCCAGCUGGAGACGAUGAUCUCCUGGGGCUAAAAAGCUACAGUAACACCCCCACUUUGUGGUUAGCCAUAUUGAGAUGGCUUUUAUACUUUAUUAUAUAUAUAUAUAUAUAUAUAUAUAUAUAUAUAUAUAUAUAUAUAUACUUUAUAAUUAGGGUUCAGCAAAUAUUUGCUUCACCACAUACCGAAGUUUAGAAAUAGCAGUCAAAAAAUCUUAGCUAUUCCUUCUACUGUUAGGUGGAGAGAUAUUUUCCAGUGCCUUCGAAUUUAAUAUUUAAUAUUCGAGGAAUCCCACGCUGAUGAGUCGAAAAUGGUCGGGUAAAGUAUAAUUCUUUAUUCUUUGUACCGAUCUAAUUCCGAAACGCGCGUACGUGGGUAACCUAAUAUCGAUUGAUUUUCGUUAUUUUCCCCCUUUGCCUGCGUGGAUUGUUUUCAAGUACUUUGGGUUUUCUGGGAGUCCCUUUUAAAGUAGAAGGAAUAGCUAAGAUUUUUUGACUGCUAUUUCUAAACUUCGGUAUGUGGUGAAGCAAAUCUUUGCUGAACCCUAUUUAUAAAAUAUUACUUAAGCUUACCAUGAAAUGGUCUUUUCCAUGCCGAAUUCUACUUGGUGAAAUUACUGAUUACUUCUUAAUUAAUUAAUUUUACCCUUUGUUAUUAUAUAUAUAUAUAUAUGUAUAUGUAUUUGAAUCCACAAGAGUAAAUAAGAGAGACAGAGACAUGCGGAAACAAGGAAAAUGCCCUUCGCAUUUGAAUACUAUACAAAUAUUCUUUUAAAAAACUUUUCUUUUCAUUUUUCCAAAAUUUAAUUGCUUUCCAUUCUUACAGUUGAAAAAGUCUCAAUGACUGAAACCGGUACAGAAAGUUUUUUUAUAAAAUUAAUUUAGCAUUCUCUACCUUGACUUUUUUCCAUAUAUAUCAACUCGUGUGUUCCUUUUCGAUCUUCUACACACACACACACACACACACACACACACACACACACACACACACACACACACACACAUAUAUAUAUAGAUAUAUAUAUAUAUAUAUAUAUAUAUAUAUAUAUAUAUAUAUAUAUAUAUAUAUAUAUCAAAUGUUUGUUUUUAAGUUCUGUUAUCAUAAGAACAAUUUCAAAUCAAUCCCAACGGUUACUCUACACAUUUACAGAGUACAAAAUUAUUAUUCUUAAACAAGAAUAUUAUUGACAGUAACUUUGAAGUUUCGACCGGCAAACCCAUCGUCGUAGUGUAUAUAUAUAUAUAUAUCUAACACACACAUACGCACACUCACUCACACACACACACGCACACAAAUGUACGUAUAUUUUUUUUGUGUAUAUAUAUAUAUAUAUAUAUAUAUACAUAUGUGUGUGUGUGUGUGUAAUUUAAAAAUAGGAUAAAAUCUUCAUAAGAAUUUAUCAAGUAUUUAGCGUGAAAAACCUCAUAAGAGAAAAAAUCCAUCAAUUUUUUUCACUUAAAUAGAUAUUUAUUUUUUUGACUUUAAGAGACCCUAGCGUGUGGCACUUAAUGUGUAAUAAUGCCCUCUAUAUAAUAUAUAUAUAUAUAUAUUUAUAUAUAUAUAUAUAUAUUUCCUGAGCGCCAUACUAAUACAAUUGUUUGUUUGUAUUCCACCUGCCUUCGUCUUUUGUUUAUUUCCGUAAACCUGCCUUCGUCUUUUGUCUAUUUUCAUAAAGCUUCCCGUAUAUAUAUAUAUAUAUAUAUAUAUAUAUAUAUAUAUAUAUAUAUAUAUAUAUAUAUAUAAGGGAGAUGACCUGUAAGUGGACAACUAUUAUGCUAGAAGAACAUCCGCUAUAGUCUUACUACUAAGAAAGGAAUGUUCUUAAGAAAAUUUAGCAAACGCCAGAACGUAAGCG